AGUGAAGAUGGUACAUAUAACCCAAUCGUUCGGUACAAUUAUCACCUUCGUAAAGUUGGACCUAGACUCAUAUGACAUUGUAGGUCACAAAAUCCUCUUCUCGCUGUAACAUUACACAUUUUCAACAUAUAAUAUUUGGAAAUCAACCACCCGGGCCUUAUAACAUCCAUCGUCAUUACCAAACAUGCUAAGAUCAAAACGGACGGCAACACUUGAAGCAUGUUAGGAUUUGUUACAAUGCUCAAUAUACUAUAUAGACGCAAGUUCAUUAUUGAAUACGUCUCAUUCCAAAAGGAGAGUAGAUUACUUUACACAACGAAUUAUAAACACAAAACACUUGUUAUCGAAAAAUUUUUACCUACCUUAGAACUUUGUCCUAAUGUUGGUGAAAAUCCCCCGAAACAAAUAAAUGUUUCAAGAAAAAGAUUACAAAAACUAUACAGUCAAAUUAGCACACCUUACAAACGGCUGUUUCUGGUAAAAGGCAAGAAACAGAUACGUUAGCUUUUGCAAAGUGCUUUGACGGAUUAUGCUGAAAUGUGUGUGCAACCAGGUGUUUAUAUAACUUUUUGCAACCUCAAACCCUAACCCUGUACAAAAUCUAAGAAAGCAAAUU